rnacentral:lncRNA from 1 species
AUAAUAUAAGAGUUCUUAAAAGGAAGAUGCACAGAUUAUAAUGAACUGCCAUAUAACUUUUAUUAAUUUAUAAUUCAUAUACAAUUUACAUAUAAAGAGUACAAUCAUCUACAGUUAGACAAUUGAUUUUAAGAUACAAUUCUCAAUCUAGACCUCAUGGUGGAGCCAUUGUCUUAUGGAAAAAAAGAUAUGGGAGAGAUAGAUAAGGUGAAAGGAAGG